UGUCGAUAGCGUAAAAGUUAAUUCACAUUUGUAUGGAGUUGGAACGUUUGCCUAUGUUUGCCUCUAGGGGCGCUGUUCCUACUGCAUACAAAUUUUAGUUAACUUUAACUCUAUCGA
rnacentral:pre_miRNA from 9 species